GUUUGAGCGGGUUUUGAGGUGGUUAUGGAGGUCCACCAUGGAUCUGAGUAGGUUUGGCGUCAAAACCUUCUUGAUGGACGUGGUUAUGGAGGUCCACCAUGGGUUUGAGAUGGUUUGAGGGGGGCUUGUGGAGGUUUGAGUGGGUUUUGAGGUGGUUAUGGAGGUCCACCAUGGAUCUCAGGGGGUUUCAUGGGGAUUUGUGGAGGUUUGAGUGGGUUUUGAGGUGGUUAUGGAGGUCCACCAUGGAUCUGAGUAGGUUUGGUGUCAAAACCUUCUUGAUGGACGUGGUUAUGGAGGUCCACCAUAGGUUUGAGUAGGUUUGAUGGUGGUUUGAAUGGGUUUGAGUGGGUUUUGAGGUAGUUAUGGAGGUCUACCAGGGGUUUGAGAUGGUUUGAGUGGGUUUUGAGGUGGUUAUGGAGGUCUACCAGGGGUUUGAGAUGGUUUGAGUGGGUUUUGAGGUGGUUAUGGAGGUCUACCAUGGGGUUUGAGACCAGAAGUUCUUGAUGGACGUGGUUAUGGAGGUCUACCAUGGAU